AGUGGGCAACACAGCUUAUUAUCAUUUCUCUUUUGAAAGCGGAUCUCUUAGCGGUGUACAUGUUAAUUAUUGUAUCGUUAAAGUAAAAGUCGAUCACUAUAGAUAAAACUUAUAUUUCAUAGCAAUCUUCUACAGUUUAGUUUAUUUAACAUGAGAGCAAAGUGGCGUAAAAAGCGUAUGCGGAGGCUAAAGCGUAAAAGGAGGAAGAUGCGUGCGAGGUCCAAAUAAAAUGGUACAUGGUGGGUGUAAUAAGAUGAAUGUCUCUUACUUCUGCUUAUGUACAAAAUAAAAAAAUUAAAAACCUCA